UACGUAGGGGGCAAGCGUUGUCCGGAUUCAUUGGGCGUAAAGAGCUCGUAGGCGGUUCAGUAAGUCGGGUGUGAAAGCUCCGAGCUCAACUCGGAGAGGCCACCCGAUACUGCUGUGACUUGAGUCCAGUAGAGGAGCGUGGAAUUCCUGGUGUAGCGGUGAAAUGCGUAGAUAUCAGGAGGAACACCGAUUGCGAAGGCAGCUCGCUGGGACGUUACUGACGCUGAGACGCGAAAGCGUGGGGAGCAAACAGG
rnacentral:rRNA from 1 species